rnacentral:lncRNA from 1 species
CCCCACACCAACCGUGUGUAUACCUUCAGCCAAGCUUCAACAUGACCACAGCUCGUGGGGCAGGGGCACACUGAGCUGUGGGGCAGGUUAUUCAUUCAAAGCAGGAGCCCAGAGAUUUCAGGGAACCAUUUGCUGCUGUUGGGGCAGAGUCCAUUUCCUCAUUUCUAGCAGAUGCUGCAGCACCAUCUCAUCACUCAGCCACUGUCUCUCUGCUGAUGCUACUCCGUUGUUUUGCAAGGGGUUAGUUAUGAUAUUUUUUUUCUUCUUCUGCAGCAGCCCAGCUGGAAAUGUAAGAUAAUAUCCAAAAUAAUUAAGAGCUCCUCACACUAUAUUUCCUGCUUGCAUUCUGUCUCCAAGACAUCUUCCAUGGGAGCAAUUCAGCUCUAUGUAUACACUGGGACCAAUUCUGCCCUACUGAAAAUACGUGGAAUUUCAUGGCUGACUUCUCCAGGAUCAGGAUCAGUCCACAGAGUGCCCAAUUGCAAAUUUGGUUCCAUCCAUGAAGGCCCUGGUGCACCAGCCCCAGAAGUUUCUUCUCCCUCUCUCCUUAUGCAUAUGUAUAUGGCAGUGUGUCUGAGGUGAGAAAAUUCAAGAUCUGAUGGCACCAAAGAUUUCUGCAAAGCCUGGUGAAGACCACAGCAGUUGACCAGUGGAUUUUCUACCCAAGGAUUGCUGAUCCAAAGGGGCUCCUUGGCAGCAUGGUGGGAGAGAUACGUGGCUGAUUGUCCUGCACAUUACAAACAACAGGGUAGCCUUCCCAUAGCAGUGAUUCCCACCUGGGAGGAGCUGACAGACUGGGAGAGGACUUGUCCACAUUUACACUGUGUCCCCAGUGCACUGUCCCAUAGUCACCUAACAGUCAGAUAGCACCAGCAAAGAGCAAUUUCAGAGCCCCAAUUAGUGAAUUUACUGACAGCUCAUGGACGUUCCUUUAGCUACACCUUUGCAUUUUUGAGGGUUUGAAAGGGAGCUGAAAUGCUGUUUCAGGUCAGUUCAUUCUUAUUCGAACAAAGGAAGAUUUCCAGCUUUAAGCAUGUCAUCAUAAAUUCAGUUCUCACAAAGAGUUUGUAUGGAGUGAUCACCAAAGCAGGGUGACAGGGAGAAGAGAGGGAAAGUCUGAAGAACACAUCACAGAAACAGAGUGGAAGAACAACAUAAUUUGGAUGAAUAAAAGUGCUUAAUUCUGCUAAAUGUGGUUUAGUGCAGAGUUCUAAAUAUUUGCGUGUUUUCAGAGGAUAAUAUGAAUUGGAUCCUGGAAAGACAAGCACACCAAAACUUCCUUUUUAUCAUCCGAUCAUAGUUGAAAAACUGAUGCAUUUGAGAUCUCAGAAGUUCUUUAAUGUGGAACCGUAAACAGACUGGCAGCCAAGACAGACUCCACUCUUAGUUUUAACAGUAUAAGUGGAGAACACAGUGAAUGACGGAGGCAAAAUAAAUAAAUAAAUAAAAAUCAAUGUGCUGUGUACAUGGUGAAAAAAAUGCAGCAAAUCAUGUGGAAAUGUCUUAUUUCAGUCUGAACUAGCUUUCAGAAGUGUUACUGUAGCUGGUUCUUAAUGCAUACAUGCAUUGGUGGCUCAGAGGCUGGAGGAGAGGACCAGCGGUACUGCAGGAUCCCUGCUCGGUGCCUGCCAUCAGUGAACCCUACUGCUGCACAAUGCACAUCUGACCCCAAAGCAAUGGAAGAAGAGUGAUAACAGAAAUGAACACUGCUGACAAGGUAAACAGAGAGACAUGGCAACCUGCUUGUUAGAGACAGCUAAUGCUUGAGGGAACUCCGCAUUCAACACCACUGCAAGAAAAAAAACCUAAAGGCUGCACAGCCCCAGAUCUCAACCUGUCCUCAAAGGAGAAGUGUUCCAUCCCUUGCACCAUUUUUGUGGUCCUCCUCUGGAUGCACUCCAACCGAUCCUUGUAUUUCCUGUACUGAAGACUCCACAUCUGGACACACUACUCCAGACGGCAGCAGUGGGGCAGUCUGACAGAAUGGCCUCUAACAUGGAAGCGCAUAUGGAGAAAAGGUGUGGGAUUCAGUUCCUCCAAGAAGAAAAAAUGGCAACUCUUGACAUACACUGAUGCUUUCUGAACAUUUAUGGAAACCAACCAUUAAAUGUGAGCCCAGUGAGGCAGUGUGAUGCAUUUCAUCAGUGGUGACAGUGACAUGAAACACAAGCCAUACUCCGGAUGGCCAUGCAAAAUUUUAUAAGCAUGGCAUGAAGGCUCUUGUGGUGAGAAUGCACACUAAUGGUGGUACAUGAAUCCACAAGGUAUCCACCUCUCUUUUAGAAGAAAGAACUGUCCAUGGCUUGCUCAGAGCACAUGGGGUCUGGCCAAGAUGAAUGCAGAGGACUCUGAGCAGGACAUUGCUGAAGAAAAACUCUGAACAUGUUUUCUUCAGGAUUCAGUGUAGAGAAUGGGAUGGAAAAUAAGUCCAGCUCUUCUGGGUGACCACGAGGAGAGGAGCACAAGAGUCCUAAAUCCACUUUGGAUGCAAAAGAUCUUAACCCAGUAUCAAAUAUUAAUGUCCUAAUAUGUUUAAGGAAAGCUGAAGUUGCUGUUAUAAUUAAUUUCGUAUCUGAGGAAAAAAAAGAAAAAAGUAUUGCUAACCACUUUUGGAAAGAAUUACACCAGCUCAGUUGAAAGCUUGUACAGAUCACCUGAAACAGCAUGCAAUAAUUUCAUGAAAUCGUACUGGAAGAGGAAAAGGACAAUUUCACAGGUGGGCAAUAGAAACAUUUCUAAGGAACUAAUUUCCCAAUUUUUUUUGUCAUCAGAAGGGCUACUAUUUCAAGUACUCGCCUCCUUAGGGAUCCCCCUUGAUAAAUAGAUACCGUGUUUGACAAAUGGUCCAUCUCCAUUCUCCAGGAAGGGGUGAAGCAGGAUGAGCUCAGUGUAUCUGUUCAGGGUCCUGGGAGCAAUGCACUCCUUUAUGAAGUUUGGGC